CCCCUAGAUGUUCUGGGCCGCACGCGCGCUACACUGAACAGUUCAACAAGUCUUAACCUUGGCCGAUAGGUCUGGGUAAUCUUUGAACGCUGUUCGUGAUUGGGAUAGACCUUUGCAAUUAUGGGUCUUCAACGAGGAAUUCCUAGUAAACGCAAGUCAUCAGCAUGCAUUGAUUACGUCCCUGCCCUUUGUACACACCGCCCGUCGCACCUACCGAUUGAAUGGUCCGGUGAAAUCUCGGGACGGCGGCUUGGUCGCUUGCGUCCGACUGCUGAAACUUGAUUAAACCAUAUCAUUUAGAGGAAGGUGAANUCGUANCA
rnacentral:rRNA from 1 species